AUGGAGCAAGUCGUCUACCUCGUACUGGCCAUCGGGUCGCUGCUCGUCGUCCUGCUCGCCUGGCGCCGACGCAGGGGCGGCAAGGACAAGCUGCGGCUGCCGCCGGGGCCGUGGACGCUGCCGGUGAUCGGCAGCAUGCACCACAUCGUCGGGGCGCUCCCGCACCGGGCCAUGCGCGACCUGGCGCGGCGGCACGGGUGGCCGGUCAUGCUGCUCCGGCUCGGCGAGGUGCCCACGCUGGUGGUCUCGUCCCGGGAGGCGGCGCGCGAGGUGAUGAAGACCCACGACGCCUCGUUCGCGACGCGGCCGCUGAGCUCCACCGUGCGCGUGCUCACCAAGGGCGGCCGGGACAUCGUCUUCGCGCCCUACGGCGACUACUGGCGCCAGAUGCGCCGCAUCGCCGUCACCGAGCUCCUCACGACGCGCCGCGUCCUCUCCUUCCGUGCCAUCCGGGAGGAGGAGGUCGCUGCCAUGCUCCGGGCCGUCGCAUCCGCCGGGAACGGCGGCGCCGUGGUCGACAUGCGCGCGCGGCUGUCCGCGCUCGUGGCCGACAGCACGCUGCGCGUCGUGAUUGGCGACCGCUGCAGCGGCCGCGACGUGUUCCUCCGGGAGCUCGAACGCUCCGUCGGGCUCGUCGCGGGGUUCAACCCCGCCGACCUGUGGCCGUCGUCACGGCUCGCCGCCUGGGCUAGCGGCGCCGUCCGCCGCGCCGAGGAGUGCCGUGACACCGUAUUCGGGAUCCUCGACGGCAUUAUCGCCGAGCACCAGGAGAGGAUGGGCGCCGGUGCCGGCGACGCCGAGGACCUUAUCGACGUGCUCCUGAGGAUACAGAAGGACGGUGGCCUCCAGUUUCCACUCGACAUGGACUGCAUCAAAGCCGUAGUAUUUGACAUGUUUGGUGCCGGCAGUGAGACGUCGACGACAACACUGGAGUGGAUAAUGGCGGAACUGGUCAAGAACCCAAAGGUGAUGCAUCGAGCGACAGCGGAGGUGCGGCGAGCCUUCGAGGCCGGCGGCAAGGUGGUCGAACAGCAGCUCGGCGAGCUCGUCCCGUACCUGCACCUCGUCAUCCGGGAGACACUACGGCUGCACACGCCGCUGCCGCUGCUGCUCCCCCGGGAGUGCCGAGAGGAGCCGGCGUGCAGGGUGCUCGGCUACGACGUGCCCAAGGGCACGCAGGUGCUGGUCAACGCCUGGGCGCUGGGCCGCGACGAGCGGUACUGGCCUGAUAAGCCUGAGGAGUUUCGUCCGGAGCGCUUCGAGGCGGCCGGCGACGGCGCGGCGGCGGAGGUGGACUUCAGGGGCGUGGACUUCGAGUUCCUGCCGUUUGGUGCAGGUAGGAGGAUGUGCCCCGGAAUGGCGUUCGGGCUCGCCAACGUGGAGCUCGCGCUCGCCAGCUUGCUGCUACACUUCGACUGGGAAGCGCCCGACGGGUCGCUCGACAUGACCGAGGCGUUUGGCAUCACCGCGAGGCGGAAGGCCGGCCUCCUGCUCCGCCCCAUCAUGCGCUUCCGUGUCCCGGGUAACUAG
rnacentral:rRNA from 1 species